rnacentral:rRNA from 1 species
ACCUAGCGGCGGACGGGUGAGUAAUGCUUAGGAAUCUGCCUAUUAGUGGGGGACAACGUUCCGAAAGGAACGCUAAUACCGCAUACGUCCUACGGGGGAAAGCAGGGGAUCUUCGGACCUUGCGCUAAUAGAUGAGCCUAAGUCGGAUUAGCUAGUUGGUGGGGUAAAGGCCUACCAAGGCGACGAUCUGUAGCGGGUCUGAGAGGAUGAUCCGCCACACUGGGACUGAGACACGGCCCAG